GAACAACGUGAAUAAAGUGGAUCCAGGACCAACAACCCUCACAUCCAAUCAGAUUUAGCGUCUCUCAGUGACGUCAUUACAAGCGCGACUGCCCAAAAAGACCGCGAGGAGAUUAAAAAAAAAAAAAGACCGCGAGGAGAUUCAACCACCAGUAAUUGCUGUACCCCAUUGUGCAUACAGGCUGUGCAGUGUGGAGAAAGAAAUGGAAGAAAUAAUUAAAAGAACAGUUCUGGAACAAGAGCGAAAGACAACUGGUGCCAACAAACAAGUCAACGUAUUUGUUAUUGAACAACAAGAUGACUGCUCCAAAGUGAUUUUGGAAAAGCUUUUAACUACACCUUUGAAAGGCCAGUACAAGACCUAUAAUUCAGCUGCAGUAAAGAUCGGCAAAGAGGAUAUUUUAGCUUUCCCUGUCUUAGGUCUGGAGUGAAAACCAUAAACAGCUACAGAGCAGUCGGAUGUAAGGCCUAUGUUUCAUUUAAAAUAAUCAAUGACUGGGAGAACUUUUCUGUUAGUGUACAACGCAUUUAUGAUGAACACAAUGACCACAAUCCCACUGACCCUAGUGAAGGAGAGUUUCAGCGCAUUUGUCCAGUACUGGUAACACGGAUUGAAGAAUUGUUGGCACUUGGAACCAAACCAGAUGUUAUACUCACUGAAUGCCACAAGUGGGCCAAGAAACAAGGACACAGUGAUCUACACAGUCGUGAGUAUUUUGUUACUCCACGUGACAUUGACAAUGUCAGAACCUGCAUGAUGAGAAAAAAACACUUCUACUCUAAUGACAGCCAGAGUGUGGAUGCAUUACUGAAGGGACCUUUUCAAGAGCAUGUUUUAUACUACCAGCCAUAUGCAUCAAACCAAGAGCUGAUCAUCGUUUUGCAGACACCAAUUAUGAAAUCUCAGCUGGAGAAACACUCAAGACGAAUUGUAUUUGUUGACACAACCUACUGUGUGAACCAGUAUUCAUUCCCUUUAUUCACACUUGUUGUGAAAGAUGACCAUGGACGAGGAGUGCCUGUGGCCUAUGCAAUAGUUGGCAAUGAAACUCAGAAGGUUCUGGAAAAAGUUCUUGAAGUUCUUAAAAAGCAGUUUCCAACUCCUCCAAGAGCAUUCAUGGUUGACAAAGACUUUGCUGAAAUCAAUGCCUUGUCUGCAGUGUUUCCAGAAUCUAGCAUAUUGUUAUGCUGGUACCAUGUCUUGUGUGUGUGUGUGUGUAUGUGUGUGUGUGUGUGUGUGUGUGUGUGUGUGUGUGUGUGUGUGUGUGUGUGUGUGUGUGUGUGUGUGAGAAAGUGUGAAAAUUCAGAUGGUAUUUGUCUUUUGGAGCAAAACGAUCCUAAACAGAAGUAAUGAUUAAACAUAAAUUGUCCUUUUUUUUUUUUUUAAACUAAGAUUAAUAUGCUGAUUUUGUCUGUUAUGUAAGAUGUGGCUCCUGGCUUGAUGUUUUAGUUUAGCAUUUUAAACUAAUAGUGCUGUUAAAGCCAUAUUUUAAUCGAAUUACACCUAGUAGAAAGUGUGGGAUAACGAUCAUAUUCGAAAGGAAGAUAAACGUCACCAGGAACAAUAAAUUUAACAUUUAGGCUAAAAUCCAGUUUUUAAUAAGCUCCACAUACAGAGUUAGCAUUAAACACACUAUGUCUGAUGUCUCAGCAUGGAGCUGAAGUGGUUCCUAAAGGUGUCCUUCAAUAAUUCAUUCCAUGCAGUUAGGCCUGUCACAAUUAUAUUGUCAACUUAUUGUACAAUAAAUGGACGUGCCCUCAAUAAUAUUUACCGUAUUUUUCGGACUAUAAGGCGCACUUAAAAACUUUUAAUUUUCACAAAAAUUGACAGUGCGUCUUAUAAUACGGUGCGCCUUUUGUAUGGAUUUUACCCGUCAGGUUGUAAGGAGCAGUAAACGCACACUCCGUGCAGCGUUAUAGAGAGUUUCAGUGCUAUACAGAGUCCAGAGCCGUGCAGCUCCGAGGCUGAGCAGCAAUAGCAUUAGCUAGAUGCUAACCGCUAAGCUAGCUAGCUUAUUCACUGUUCAGAGAUCAGUAUUAUCUAAAUUUUACUCGUCAGGUUGUAAGGAGCAGUAAACACACACUCCGUGCAGCGUUAUAGAGAAUUUCAGUGCUAUACAGAGUCCAGAGCCGUGCAGCUCCGAGGCUGGAUCAGCAAUAAUAGCAUUAGCUAGCUUAUUCACUGUUCAGAGAUCAGUAUUAUCUAAAUUAUCUAAAGUAAACACACACUCCGUGCAGAGCCGUGCAGCUCCGUGGCUGGAGCAGCAAUAGCAUUAGCUAGAUGCUAACCGCUUAGCUAGCUAACUUUUUCACUGUUCAGAGAUCAGUAUUAUCUAAAUUUAGUACUUUUAAUACUGCUGGAGCAGUAUUAUUAGAGUUAGAUGCUAAUCGCUAAGCGUUCACCGUUCAGAGGUGAGUUAUCGGCCUGUAAGUCUGUGCUGCUUUGCCUGGCUAGCAUUAGCUAGAUGCUAAGCACUAACUCUCUCAGAGGUGAGUUUUAUCAGCCUGUAAUCUGCUUGUUUACCGUGUUAAAACAAGCUACGGGGGACGAAUCGCUAGCUAAUAUCUCACUGUCUUACCAGAACACGCAGGAUUACUCAGUGUAACGCUGUCGUUUAAGUUUGGGUUAACUUUACUAGUUUAGGGGACUAGCUAGCGUGCUAGCGGAUAGCUAUGCUAACGCUGGUGCAGCAAGCCUUAGUGGACAUCUGGAAAUCUAAGCUUACUGUAAAUAAACUGAAGCACGUUACUCACCCAAAUAAACAGUUUUCAGGAGAGGAAUCUGUGUAGAUUAAUAUCCAGCACUCGUUUGACUUUGAAAGAGCUAGAUUUAUAUAUACUGAGACGCUCCACCGGCAAGA